rnacentral:lncRNA from 1 species
UUUUCCAAGCAGCCCUGCGUGGUGGUGGUGUUCGCCUUCAAAGGUCUUCCAGCUUCUCUCUUCCUCUCUUUAUGUUACUGAGUUGUUGUUAUUUUACUUCCCCUAUUUGUUAAUGGUUGUUGUUGCUUGUGUUGAUAAUAUUCUUGUGGUGGUGUUGAUGAAUGAAAAUGGGAAUGGGUUUGAAAACUUAAAGAUGGAGGUCUUGGUGUUGUGAUGAAGAAGGAGGUUUUGUGUUUAGUGAUGGAGAAAAGUGGUGGAAAUCUUGAUGGUGAAGGUGAUGUCUAGGGAGGAUGAGUGAGGCGGUUAGGGUUUAGGAGUUAACGAUGGUUUGGGAGUUGUAGGGAACCAAAGGA